AGUUUGAUCCUGGCUCAGGACGAACGCUGGCGGCGUGCCUAAUGCAUGCAAGUCGCACGCACCCGCUUCGGCGGGUGAGUGGCGCACGGCUGAGUAACACGUGGGAACCCGCCCCCCGGUGGGGGAUAACGCGACGAAAGUUGCGCUAAUCCCGCAUACGUCCUUCGGGGGAAAGCGCAGUGCGCGCCGGGGGAGGGGCCUGCGGCCCGUCAGGUCGCUGGUGGGGUAAUGGCCUACCAAGCCGAUGACGGGUAGCUGGUCUGGGAGGAUGACCAGCCAGACUGGGACUGAGACACGGCCCAGACUCCUACGGGAGGCAGCAGCAAGGAAUUUUCGGCAAUGGGCGCAAGCCUGACCGAGCAACGCCGCGUGCGGGAUGACGGCCUUCGGGUUGUAAACCGCUUUUCGGGGGGACGACCCUGACGGUACCCCCGGAAUCAGCCCCGGCUAACUCUGUGCCAGCAGCCGCGGUAAGACAGAGGGGGCGAGCGUUGUCCGGAGUCACUGGGCGUAAAGCGCGCGCAGGCGGCAACCUAAGUGUCGUGUGAAAGCCCCCGGCUCAACCGGGGGAGGCCAUGGCAAACUGGGUCGCUCGAGCUGCGGAGAGGCCCCUCGAAUUGCCGGUGUAGCGGUGAAAUGCGUAGAGAUCGGCAGGAAGACCAAGGGGGAUGCCAGGGGGCUGGCCGCAGGCUGACGCUGAGGCGCGACAGCGUGGGGAGCAAACCGGAUUAGAUACCCGGGUAGUCCACGCCGUAAACGAUGACCACUCGGCGUGUGGCGACUAUUGACGUCGCGGCGCGCCCUAGCUCACGCGAUAAGUGGUCCGCCUGGGAACUACGAGCGCAAGCUUAAAACUCAAA
rnacentral:rRNA from 1 species